UGGGGAAUUUUGGACAAUGGACGCAAGUCUGAUCCAGCCAUGCCGCGUGCGGGAAGAAGGCCUUCGGGUUGUAAACCGCUUUUGUCAGGGAAGAAAAGGUUCCUUCUAAUACAGGGGACUCAUGACGGUACCUGAAGAAUAAGCACCGGCUAACUACGUGCCAGCAGCCGCGGUAAUACGUAGGGUGCAAGCGUUAAUCGGAAUUACUGGGCGUAAAGCGUGCGCAGGCGGUUAUGUAAGACAGAGGUGAAAUCCCCGGGCUCAACCUGGGAACUGCCUUUGUGACUGCAUGACUAGAGUACGGCAGAGGGGGAUGGAAUUCCACGUGUAGCAGUGAAAUGCGUAGAUAUGUGGAGGAACACCGAUGGCGAAGGCAAUCCCCUGGGCCUGUACUGACGCU
rnacentral:rRNA from 1 species